rnacentral:rRNA from 1 species
GAUGAACGCGGCGGCGUGCCUAACACAUGCAAGUCGAGCGAGGGUUUGCUCAGUAUUGAGUAUUCUAUGACUAGAAUGUUCAAUUCUGAGCAAACCAAGCGGCGGACGGGUGAGUAACGCGUGGGUAACCUGCCCUAUACACAUGGAUAACAUACUGAAAAGUUUACUAAUACAUGAUAAUAUAUGUUGCGGCAUCGCAGAUAUAUCAAAGUGUUAGCGGUAUAGGAUGGACCCGCGUCUGAUCAGCUAGUUGGUGAGAUAACUGCCCACCAAGGCGACGAUCAGUAGCCGACCUGAGAGGGUGAUCGGCCACAUUGGAACUGAGACACGGUCCAAACUCCUACGGGAGGCAGCAGUGGGGAAUAUUGCACAAUGGGCGAAAGCCUGAUGCAGCAACGCCGCGUGAACGAUGAAGGUCUUCGGAUCGUAAAGUUCUGUUGCAGGGGAAGAUAAUGACGGUACCCUGUGAGGAAGCCCCGGCUAACUACGUGCCAGCAGCCGCGGUAAUACGUAGGGGGCUAGCGUUAUCCGGAUUUACUGGGCGUAAAGGGUGCGUAGGUGGUCCUUCAAGUCGGUGGUUAAAGGCUACGGCUCAACCGUAGUAAGCCGCCGAAACUGGAGGACUUGAGUGCAGGAGAGGAAAGUGGAAUUCCCAGUGUAGCGGUGAAAUGCGUAGAUAUUGGGAGGAACACCAGUAGCGAAGGCGGCUUUCUGGACUGCAACUGGCACUGAGGCACGAAAGCGUGGGUAGCAAACAGG